CAGAACGUCGUGAGACAGUUCGGUCUCUAUCCUCCGUGGGCGUAAGAUAUUUGAGUGAAGCUGACCUUAGUACGAGAGGACCGGGUUGGACGAACCUAUGGUGUACCGGUUGUGGCGCCAGCUGCAUCGCCGGGUAGCUAAGUUCGGAAGGGAUAACCACUGAAAGCAUCUAAGUGGGAAGCCCAUCACAAGAUAAGAUAUCUAUUAAGGGUGCUUGUAGACUACGAGCUUGAUAGGCAAGAGGUGUAAGUGUUGUAAGACAUUCAGCUGACUUGUACUAAAUACCCGUUUUGCUUUAUUUACUUU
rnacentral:rRNA from 1 species